rnacentral:rRNA from 1 species
GAUGAACGCUGGCGGCGUGCCUAAUACAUGCAAGUCGAGCGAACGGACGAGAAGCUUGCUUCUCUGAUGUUAGCGGCGGACGGGUGAGUAACACGUGGAUAACCUACCUAUAAGACUGGGAUAACUUCGGGAAACCGGAGCUAAUACCGGAUAAUAUUUUGAACCGCAUGGUUCAAAAGUGAAAGACGGUCUUGCUGUCACUUAUAGAUGGAUCCGCGCUGCAUUAGCUAGUUGGUAAGGUAACGGCUUACCAAGGCAACGAUGCAUAGCCGACCUGAGAGGGUGAUCGGCCACACUGGAACUGAGACACGGUCCAGACUCCUACGGGAGGCAGCAGUAGGGAAUCUUCCGCAAUGGGCGAAAGCCUGACGGAGCAACGCCGCGUGAGUGAUGAAGGUCUUCGGAUCGUAAAACUCUGUUAUUAGGGAAGAACAUAUGUGUAAGUAACUGUGCACAUCUUGACGGUACCUAAUCAGAAAGCCACGGCUAACUACGUGCCAGCAGCCGCGGUAAUACGUAGGUGGCAAGCGUUAUCCGGAAUUAUUGGGCGUAAAGCGCGCGUAGGCGGUUUUUUAAGUCUGAUGUGAAAGCCCACGGCUCAACCGUGGAGGGUCAUUGGAAACUGGAAAACUUGAGUGCAGAAGAGGAAAGUGGAAUUCCAUGUGUAGCGGUGAAAUGCGCAGAGAUAUGGAGGAACACCAGUGGCGAAGGCGACUUUCUGGUCUGUAACUGACGCUGAUGUGCGAAAGCGUGGGGAUCAAACAGGAUUAGAUACCCUGGUAGUCCACGCCGUAAACGAUGAGUGCUAAGUGUUAGGGGGUUUCCGCCCCUUAGUGCUGCAGCUAACGCAUUAAGCACUCCGCCUGGGGAGUACGACCGCAAGGUUGAAACUCAAAGGAAUUGACGGGGACCCGCACAAGCGGUGGAGCAUGUGGUUUAAUUCGAAGCAACGCGAAGAACCUUACCAAAUCUUGACAUCCUUUGACAACUCUAGAGAUAGAGCCUUCCCCUUCGGGGGACAAAGUGACAGGUGGUGCAUGGUCGUCGUCAGCCCGUGUCGUGAGAUGUUGGGUUAAGUCCCGCAACGAGCGCAACCCUUAAGCUUAGUUGCCAUCAUUAAGUUGGGCACUCUAAGUUGACUGCCGGUGACAAACCGGAGGAAGGUGGGGAUGACGUCAAAUCAUCAUGCCCCUUAUGAUUUGGGCUACACACGUGCUACAAUGGACAAUACAAAGGGCAGCGAAACCGCGAGGUCAAGCAAAUCCCAUAAAGUUGUUCUCAGUUCGGAUUGUAGUCUGCAACUCGACUACAUGAAGCUGGAAUCGCUAGUAAUCGUAGAUCAGCAUGCUACGGUGAAUACGUUCCCGGGUCU